UCCGGUUUGUCACCGGCAGUCUCGCUAAAGUGCCCAACCAAAUGAUGGCAAUUAACGACAAGGGUUGCGCUCGUUGCGGGACUUAACCCAACAUCUCACGACACGAGCUGACGACAGCCAUGCAGCACCUGUGUCCUGGCUCCCGAAGGCACCCCCGCAUCUCUGCAGGGUUCCAGGCAUGUCAAGGGUAGGUAAGGUUUUUCGCGUUGCAUCGAAUUAAUCCACAUCAUCCACCGCUUGUGCGGGUCCCCGUCAAUUCCUUUGAGUUUUAAUCUUGCGACCGUACUCCCCAGGCGGUCGACUUCACGCGUUAGCUGCGUUACCCACAGAGUUACCUCCACGAACAACUAGUCGACAUCGUUUAGGGCGUGGACUAC
rnacentral:misc_RNA from 1 species